ensembl:lncRNA
AUGACCGCUGAGAGAAAUGGUGGGGAAAAGAGACACAGUGUUCGAGCUCCCGCGAGCACAAUCACUGACACACGUGUACAGGAUCAGAUUAUAGAAGUAAUACAGAGAGAAACAGUGAACGCACAGACCUCGCCCAUUCUGUUGGAACAAAGAUCUCCACAGACAAAUGGGGCUAGAGGAGAGUGGUCGUUUGAUGAACAUGAUUUCCCACCAUUAGAAACCCCAGCCAUAGUACCAACGCCUGUCAGGCCACAAGCACCCUUAGAACAAAGAACACCCCGCAGACUAUACCAAAGAUUGCUGCUGGAGGAAGAAGAUGAGAUCACUGAGCUACCCAGUGGUGAAAUAAACACAGCAAAACAGGCUCAACCUCCUACAACGGUGGGAGCUAACGCCAUCAAAGACGGAGAGAUCACUGCGAGAGAGAUUGUAAAUGAAACAGUAGCACAGGAAAACACUGUAAGAGAUAACAGAGUGACCACAGUAGCUCAAGUACAUCAACCGCCGAUGCCUGCACGACAUUCCCUCACCAGAUUGGAGUCUUCACCUGUCUUAUUUUCAGAGGGAUCUAAUGAAGAUUCACUCACUAGUAUCGCUCCGCGUUCUGCUCUCACGAGGUUUUUAGAGGAGAACGCAGAUGAAAUAGGACAGAUAGAUGAGGCAGCCGGGUCAGAAAAAGAGAGAGAGACAGAAUUUGACCGCGUGUUUGAACAAGCGGUUCCUGGGACACCAGAGACCCCAAGAUCGAUGGGCAGACCCAGUAAACAUAUUCAUACCACUAGAAAGAACCAAGAUUGGAGUCUAAACCUUAAAAAAAAAUAUGUCAUCAUUGGGGACUCUAAUGUGGGCAGAAUUUCCACCUUUAAUCAUGCAGAUCUGCAGAUCGACUGUUUCCCAGGAGCAAAAUUUCAACACGCGGGCAACUUGAUGGAAAAGGCCACCAUAGCGAUGGAGCCUGAGUUGCUGAUCUUUUCUCUGGGGAUUAAUAACCGAGCACAGAGAUGUAUUGAGCUCACCAUCAAGGAGAUACAUAGAACAUACAGAAUGGCGAGAAGCCGAUUGCCACACACUGAUUUGUAUUUCCCGUUGGUCAACUUCUCUGAAAAUCUACCCUUGGAUGAACAGGUCCAUUUAGAAAAGAUGAACAAAUAUAUAAGGGACACAUUGGUUUCCAUCGAAGAGCUUCCCAGGGAGGAUUUUGAGGUGGAGGAGGAUCGUAUACACUGGACUGCUGGAACAGCAAAAGCAAUGCUGAACCAUUGGAUGAACCGUUUAAACUUCUCGUGA